ensembl:ncRNA mir-974 mir-974 stem loop
CAAUUGUCACCGGUCAUGUCCUCCAAGCGAGCAAAGAAGUAGUAUUUGUGUUUCCAAGAGCAAAUAUAACUUCAUUGGAAGCUAAGUGGAUUUGCCCAAAU